AACGAACGCUGGCGGCGCGCCUAAUACAUGCAAGUCGAGCGAGAAGACGUAGCAAUACGUUUGUAAAGCGGCGAACGGGUGAGGAAUACAUGGGUAACCUACCCUCGAGUGGGGAAUAACUAGCCGAAAGGUUAGCUAAUACCGCGUACGCUCCUUGGACUUCGGUUCAGGGAGGAAAGCGAUACCGCGGGUAUCGCGCUCUUGGAUGGGCUCAUGUCCUAUCAGCUUGUUGGUGAGGUAACGGCUCACCAAGGCUUCGACGGGUAGCUGGUCUGAGAGGACGAUCAGCCACACUGGCACUGCGACACGGGCCAGACUCCUACGGGAGGCAGCAGUAAGGAAUAUUGCGCAAUGGGCGAAAGCCUGACGCAGCGACGCCGCGUGGGGGAUGAAGGUCUUCGGAUUGUAAACCCCUUUCGGGAGGGAAGAUGGAACGAGCAAUCGUUCGGACGGUACCUCCAGAAGCAGCCACGGCUAACUUCGUGCCAGCAGCCG
rnacentral:rRNA from 1 species